CAGUCGCCACGGGAAUGCGUAGGGUGCGAGCGUUAAUCGGAAUUACUGGGCGUAAAGCGUGCGCAGGCGGUUCGCUAAGACAGAUGUGAAAUCCCCGGGCUUAACCUGGGAACUGCAUUUGUGACUGGCGGGCUAGAGUAUGGCAGAGGGGGGUAGAAUUCCACGUGUAGCAGUGAAAUGCGUAGAGAUGUGGAGGAAUACCGAUGGCGAGGCAGCCCCCUGGGCCAAUACUGACGCUCAUGCGCGAAAGCGUGGGGAGCAAACAGGAUUAGAUACCCGCGUAGUCCCUGUCUCUUAUACA
rnacentral:rRNA from 1 species